UACUCGAGUGGCGAACGGGUGAGUAACACGUGGGUGAUCUGCCCUGCACUCUGGGAUAAGCCUGGGAAACUGGGUCUAAUACCGGAUAGGACCGCACUUUAGUGUGUGUGGUGGAAAGUUUUUCGGUGUAGGAUGAGCCCGCGGCAUAUCAGCUUGUUGGUGGGGUAAUGGCCUACCAAGGCGGCGACGGGUAGCCGGACUGAGAGGUUGGUCGGCCACAUUGGGACUGAGAUACGGCCCAG
rnacentral:rRNA from 1 species